AAGUGAAUGGUUGUGACCCAUUGAUCGUGCCCAAGUGGUCCAACUCAGCCCAGCCAAUUGUGCUACAUCGCUUUCCAAAUUGAUUGAUUGGAUAAUCAUUAUACUAAUGGGUAUACAUCUUUUGCUUUACACAACCAAUUACCAACCUAUACUUAUUUUGAACAUUUGAAACUCAUUCUCUGGUCCACUUUUGUUGCAUCUCGAUCCAUUGAGUCGGAUUAUAUCGUACAACUAACUAUGCACUUGUGACAUGAACACUGUUACGCCACUCACUAACCACCUCAACGAGGUGCCAUGCGUUAGUCUGAGACAUCACCAAAGAUUGAGGGAUGAGACAUCACAUGGUGGAGGAACGCAUCAUCCGAGGCAAUACCGAAGUGGUAUACGUCUCGAUGCACUUGUGAGGCACAAAUACUGCCUAAGUGAUACUAUCCAACGCAUCCUUUAACACCGAAGUGUGAGGAGACAAGGCAUCACACGAUGGAGGAGUGCGGAGGCCCCUUCGCCGUCAAUUUCAAAUAUGUAUCCCUGUGUCAGGAUCCCCUUAUCUAUAUGAAUUGAUUGAUGCGACAGGGCAACCUUAUGUCAACUUACAUGUCAGAAGAAUUAAUUACCCGCCUUCCCUAGGAUGUGAUUGAUUGACGCCAAUGAGCAGACGCUUCAUACUGUCAAAUGCAUACACGUGUUCCACAUCCAACGGCACCCUUUGCCUAUAAUUACCAAAGGCUUGGCAAGAGACAAAUGUAAUCUUUCUAAUUCUAGACACUCCACAACCAAGCAAUAUAUACUCUUCUCGCCACUCUCUUGCAUAAUUUCGGCACCGUCCCUAUUACCGUCCAUUGAUUUGACCGUCAAAGUAUGUAUGGUCGCCACCACCCCGCUGGUAUCGAUCGUAUACGUCUGACUUUUUGUUUUUGUGCGUAGGGAGAAACACGUGGAGUGAUUCUCGAUUAACCAUGUGGAGGGUCCAAUAUGCGAUGUCAACAAACACCAUGCUAAGCAUAUAGUUAAAAGCCAAACUUAUCGCAUUUCUAUUGUUGCCUCCCUAUGGACCCUAUACACGAUCUCC
rnacentral:lncRNA from 1 species